GAUGUAGCUCAGUGGUAGAGCAUUUGUCUAACACGAGCAAGGCCUAGGUUCAAUUCCCAGUAUC
rnacentral:tRNA from 1 species